rnacentral:rRNA from 1 species
GAUGAACGCUGGCGGCGUGCCUAAUACAUGCAAGUCGAGCGAACAGAUGAGGAGCUUGCUCCUCUGACGUUAGCGGCGGACGGGUGAGUAACACGUGGAUAACCUACCUAUAAGACUGGGAUAACUUCGGGAAACCGGAGCUAAUACCGGAUAAUAUAUUGAACCGCAUGGUUCAAUAGUGAAAGACGGUUUUGCUGUCACUUAUAGAUGGAUCCGCGCCGCAUUAGCUAGUUGGUAAGGUAACGGCUUACCAAGGCAACGAUGCGUAGCCGACCUGAGAGGGUGAUCGGCCAUACUGGAACUGAGACACGGUCCAGACUCCUACGGGAGGCAGCAGUAGGGAAUCUUCCGCAAUGGGCGAAAGCCUGACGGAGCAACGCCGCGUGAGUGAUGAAGGUCUUCGGAUCGUAAAACUCUGUUAUUAGGGAAGAACAAAUGUGUAAGUAACUAUGCACGUCUUGACGGUACCUAAUCAGAAAGCCACGGCUAACUACGUG